GAGAACAUCGGAACUCUUCGACAAGACUCGCCGAGUCCAAGAACAGACUCGCCGAGUCUAUGGCUAUCUUCAACCUACUCGCCGAGUUGUUCAUACAACUCGCCGAGUUCCAGGCCAUCUUCAUCCAACUCGCCGAGUUGUUCUUCCAACUCGCCGAGUCCCAGCUCAUCUUCAAACAACUCGUCGAGUACACCCAUGUGACUCGCCGAGUACCACCGGUCUGAAUCCAUUCAGAAGCAUUCCAGGCCAUGCAAUUGCUCCAAAACAUAGAUCUAGCCUCCUACCACUCAUCCAUCACGUAAAGUGGCAAACUUUACGUGAAUCCAUAGAGAUCUAGGCCAUUUGCACAUUAGGCUAGGGUUUGGGACAUGAAAGCUUCACUAAACACUCCAACACCGGGACUUUCAGGCUCUCUGAUUCUUUUCCACUCCAGAUAUGAGGUAGCAACCUCAGAUCUACCCUUUAGACUUCCAAUUACAUCCAUAGGCAAGAUCCCACAAACCCCAAAAUGAAGAAACAACAUAACAAUAGCCCAAGAACGAGAUAUUACCUCCAAUGGACGCCCUAACUACAAUGAAACUCGAAUCCAAGCAAGGCCCCUUGCUCCAAGCCUCUCUUUCUCUAAGAUCUCUUCAAAACCACCUCUCCAAGCUCCAAUUUGCUCAACAAUGGUGCUUCUCCAUGAUUUUAGGGUUUCUGGGACUCAAGGGGGAAUAAAGAGGCUGGAAGGGAAACAUAAUGUUCUUUAUAUAGGGCUCAACCCCGAGAAUUAGGGUUUUCUCCACUCAGCGCCUACUCGCCGAGUCCUCCUUACUGACUCGCCGAGUCGGCUACUUAACACGCGACCCAGUCGCGACUCUACUCGCCGAGUCCAUCCAUGGACUCGCCGAGUCACUCUUCCACAACUUACUCUUUUAGCCCUUCAACUCUACUCUUGAUAUUUCGGGAUGUUACAAUUCUCCCCCACUUAUAUUAGGCUUCGCCCUCGAAGCCUACAUCAACUCAACUCCAAGGAUACUCCCACAAUGCUCCACCUGGCCUUAACCGGACCAGGUCCCUCAAGGCAUACUUAUCGAAACUCGAACACACUUUCCCCUCCUUCACAGUGCCCUGACCACCAUCUCGAACCGGGCACCGACUGUACCCCUGAUCAUUACUCUCAAUAAUCGAGAAUUACCCAAGAUGCAACUCUGCUCUAAAUCUCAACAAUCACUCGACCCAUAAGGGUUAGAAAUUCAUGAACCAUCGGAUCCCCGAUCCGAAUCCCACUCUAUCCAUUCCGGGACGACUGUGAGACCCAUUCUCAAUCUCAGAGCAACUCUCACGAGUUCUCCCCUUGCAACCGCAUACACAUGCUGAACUAGCUCUAACACCCUCAGGUUGGGAAAACCUGAUACACUGAUAAUACCCUCAAACAUCCCCCAGGAUGAACCACUGAUAUACACCCCAUACCUUGAUCAGAAUCACACUGAGAGUUCAAGACUCUCUCUCUCCCUGCGUCCCUUUCGAGCCUCUUGGCUCUACACUUGCGGAUUUCCCUCCGCGACCUCAGCAGACAUUCCAAACCAGAUGAGCUUCUAAUCCACUGCCGCAAACACGCUGCUCAAAAAUCAUACUCGAAUUGCUCUAAUCAUAACUUCUGCUCUGCCGCUUUCACUUCCGUGAACUUGCACUCCCUCUCGGAGUUACACACCUCUUACUUCUCCCUCUUCCGUUACCAUGGAAUCCACCCGGCCACGAUGUCACUCCGACAAAUGCCACGACGCUCGCCCGAUGCUACACCACCCUUAUCGUGUCCGCUAUCCAUCCAACACACUUACUCUGACUCUCCUCGCAGGGACUCUCAAGCCCAUGCACUACCUCAACUAAACAAGAUCACUACCCGGGGCCAGACCUUCCAAUGCAAUCACACUGCAACAUACACAAUACGAAAUCUCAAACUGAUCCAACAAUACCAACAGAGUCUCCAGCAUGACUGGACCGACUCACAUAACACAUAUUAGCCACUCGAGGCUAUAUCUCUGUGGGUCCGUACACCCAAACUCUGUGAACCCUCAGGUUCUAACUCUGGGAACCUUCCGGUUCCAACUCUAUAAACAUGCACAGCAUAAAUCCCAUAGAAUUAAUGCAGUACAACACAUCACGUACAUAAAGCAUACAAAUACUCUGAUCACAUAACCCCGGUUACCUACUCAAACUUGAUCCCGACCUGCUUCCAGGCCUCCACAAUCAAAUGCCCUAGGUCUGUAUCCCGCCCCGCAUCCCCGACACUCGCUCCUAUCAGCCUAUACUCUGGGCUGACAGAACACUGCUGAACCCCAACAGCUAAGCACCCUCAAGUACUCAUCGAUCUCCCGGAGAAUUCUCCAAUUCUCCCCCCACUUAAAGCACUGACUAACAACCACCUGUCGCCAUUAACGACCUUCCAGAACAACCCCGCACAAAGAGAACACUUACACACUGACUGCUUCCCACAAGCAUAAGCAACCCUCAGCAAAACACAUCUCCUCACUGAUCAAUCUGCUCACAACGAAUCCGAUCUCCAAUUAUCCACUCCACGACUGCAGAUGUUACCCGACAUUCAACCCAAUGCCGCAUCUCCACUAAUAACCCUCACGAAUGAUAACCAACGGAAUUCCCAAAGCAAUAACCCAUAACCACAGCCACAACCCGCAAAAUGACGAAUACCGCAUCGAAAACCACACAAAGAUACCAGCACAAAACACCAAACUAUAACCAUACCAAACCUUCAGGGAACAACAAAUACCAAAACGAAAACCCGAAACACCGAUCCAUAACCAUGCCAAACCCGUGAAACAACGAAUACUGCAUCGAAAUCCACACAAAGAUACCAGCACAAACAAUACGCCACAAUAAUCGCAAGAUAACAAGACAUCAAGAAAGAACAUACCCGCAGCUGCCUCCGGCACUGCUCUGACCUCCUCUGCCGCAAGCUGAUAAGCACGACCCUGAGCCCUCGGGGGCUCCGCUCCAUCCUGUCCUCUUCCUGAACUCCUCAAGGUGGCCGGUGCUAGAGCCUGCACCGGUCCUGCAACAAGCUGCGGACAGUUCACCCUCAAAUGCCCAACCUGACGACAAUGAUAGCAAAUCCUCAAAUCCCGAACUGGCGCUGACUGCCGACAAUCCCGUGCAUAGUGCCCCUCCUUUCCGCUCUUGCGACAUGCACCACCGGACCAACAAACUCCGAUAUGACCCCUCCCACACUUCCCACAAGUGUGGCCACUCAGAUCCCCCACUCUAACAUCAACGGUCCUGGACCGUUUCGGCACCGGCUGCGACUGCAUCGGAGCCUGCCUCAGCUCACGCAACUGCAGCUCAAUCUCUACCUCACGCCGCCCGGCGGCCUCCUGCAACAAGGUCUCGCACCUCUGCGCAGACACAAACUGUUUGAUAUCCCUCUUGAGAAUACUUAGAUAUCAGGACAUCUGAGCUUGCUCCGAAGCAUACUCAGGGCAAAACAUCGCCCUCAAAGUGAACAUCCUGGUGAUCUCACUCACCGACUCCGAAUCUUGCUUCAGCUCAAGGAACUCCUGAGCCAAUCUCUCCCUCUCAACCUGCGGAACAUAACGAGUGAUGAACAUCUCUCGGAACUGAUCCCAUGAUACCGCAGCCCUCUGCGCAUCUAAAUAUGACCCCGUGGUCAACCUCCACCAAUCCUUCGCCCCGAGCCUCAACAGGUUCAGAGCCCACCUCACCCUCUGAUCAGCAGGGCAUAAACACGUGAAGAAACACCCCUCCACGUCUGACAACCAUUUCAUAACAACAAUCGGGUCCUGAACUCCAUCAAAUGUGGGAGGCUUCGCAUAAUAGAAGUCCCGAUACUGAAAACCCCGACUAGCNNNNNNNNNNNNNNNNNNNNNNNNNNNCGGCAGCCGUCUCUGCGAGAGCCGCAUAGCGCUCAUCAAAAUACUCAACCAUGGCGGUCUUGAUCGACCCAAACAGUUCCGGCAACUCAGCCCGGAACAAUGCAGCAACCUCAUCAUGCAGGAUCUCGCGAAUCCUCGCAUCCAACUCGCUCGUGCUCAUCUGAUCGAUAACCUCAGACGGCACCGAUCCACCCGGAACUCUCUCUCCAGCUCCCGAUCCUGAUCCGGAUCCACUCUCAUCAUGCCUCGGAAUCUCCAUACUGAGAAACACCACACCAAAAACUCAGACACAUCCCACUAACCUGGGAUCCAACUCUCUCAACUCCCACCCUAGAGAUCAUGGUUUCCCUGAUAUGCGUAUGGGUCCUGUGCUUUCAGUAGUACGGGCCCAUACUACCUUCCACACCUACCCAUAUUUGUAUGAAGUACUACCACAAUAUCCUAGAGAACAUGCAUAACAACUAUCAACCCUCACCACUAGAGGAACACUGAGAAUCUCCCAUAAGGGACCCUAGGCUACAGGCAUCACAAAUCAGGCAACAUUAUCAUGAAAUCCUGAAGAUCCCUAGCCUAACUCUAGCAUGCUGUUCUAUCAAAGCUCAAUAAAACAAGUGUCAUGAAUGGUAAAUUUGGGGUUACUUACUGGCUCCGGCUGAUCGUACCUCCGCGUCCCCCUUUUACUUAAUUUGAAAACCAUUUUAAUUUCUCUUUUAAAACCUUCCUCGAUUUGAGACUGGAGUUACACGAGUGUUCCUCCAAUUCACUCAAACCAAGGCUCUGAUACCAACUUGUAACGACCAAAAUUUCAAAACAAUUAAAACUUUUCAAAAACCACCCAUUUUAAUAACGUUGUUACAAAAAGGUUUUCAAUACAUUAUUUAACAGAGUAUUUUUCCCAGGUUCAAAUCAUAAAACACCAACGCGGGGAACGGUACGAUCACGCCUUUGCCUUGCCACAGACUCCUGAGAACCUGAAAACAUAAAACCACAACUGUAAGCCCGAAAGCUUAGUGAGAUACCCCCAAAAUACCAACCACAUAUACGCCCUUCCAGGCCACGACCUUCCGGUCCAAAACAUAUCGCCUUCCGGCCCAUAACAUAUUGCCUUCCGGCCCAUAACAUAUCGCCUUCCAGCCCAUAACAUAAAAUGUCCACGUAACAUAACAGAUCAUAGAACAACCUUACAUAUCGGGUCAAACCCCAGACCAAGCAACUGUGCACAUAACAUAUAAUCAUUCAACAGAUCACAGUCAGCGAAUCGAUCAACAGAUCACAUAACAUAUCAUUACCCUAACCAAGAUACCGGCCUAACCGGUCACUAGCAUAACAUCACCCUACGAAUCAGUCAACAUACUAAUUACACACAUACGCCUUUCCAGGCCAUGACCUUCCGGUCCACAUCGCAAUGCCUUCCGGCCCACAACAUGUAAUGCCUUUCGGCCCAUAACAUAUAAUGCCUUCCGACCCAUAACAUAAUGCCUUCUGGCCCAUAUUCCGCAAUAUCAUAACAACAAACACUACUCGGAUUUCCAUCCGAUAAAGGGUCGGCCUUGGUGCCGUAGACCCUAUUGAUAUAGUGAGGAUAACUCACCUCGAAACUGCCGACUGAACAGAUAACUCAAGCUGCUCCGAUCACUGAUACGAUCUCCACCUCUGGACAGCCACCAAUGCACUGAACUCAAACAAUAAUCAACAAUUACCAAAAUACCCCUGGAAACCACUGGUCAACCCUUGGUCAAAGACAAGGUCAAAGUCAACCCCUGACUGACCCUACUCGCCGAGUCAACCCGAUGACUCGCCGAGUUCCCAUACUCAGAACUCCACUCAAACCGCGACCUAACUCGCCAAGUCACCCCGAGACUCGCCAAGUCCCACAACUUUUGAGUCCUCUCGCACACAACUCACCAAGUCAUCCCUUGACUCACCGAUUCUCGACUCAACCAGAGAACAUCGGAACUCUUCGACAUGACUCGCCGAGUCCAAGAACAGACUCGCCGAGUCUAUGGCUAUCUUCAACCUACUCGCCGAGUUGUUCAUACAACUCGCCGAGUUCCAGGCCAUCUUCAUCCAACUCGCCGAGUUGUUCUUCCAACUCGCCGAGUCCCAGCUCGUCUUCAAGCAACUCGUCGAGUACACCCAUGUGACUCGCCGAGUACCACCGGUCUGAAUCUAUAC
rnacentral:lncRNA from 1 species